AACGAACGCUGGCGGCAUGCCUAACACAUGCCAGUCGAACGAGACCUUCGGGUCUAGUGGCGCACGGGUGCGUAACGCGUGGGAACCUGCCCUUAGGUUCGGAAUAACUCCCCGAAAGGGGUGCUAAUACCGGAUAAUGUCUUCGGACCAAAGAUUUAUCGCCUUUGGAUGGGCCCGCGUUGGAUUAGCUAGUUGGUAGGGUAAAAGCCUACCAAGGCGACGAUCCAUAGCUGGUCUGAGAGGAUGAUCAGCCACACUGGGACUGAGACACGGCCCAGACUCCUACGGGAGGCAGAAGUGGGGAAUAUUGGACAAUGGGCGAAAGCCUGAUCCAGCAAUGCCGCGUGAGUGAUGAAGGCCUUAGGGUUGUAAAGCUCUUUUACCCGGGAUGAUAAUGACAGUACCGGGAGAAUAAGCUCCGGCUAACUCCGU
rnacentral:rRNA from 1 species